UACCUCAUGUUUGUGCCUUCCCGCAGGAGUAAAAAUUUGCCUUGUCAAGAACUCCUGUGCCUUGUCUGAGUGCAUUCUUUUGGACACAGAAAAUUUGAGUCUGGGGGCUUAUUUCCAACAGGAAUAUAUGUAAAGUGAGGUCUGUAACUUUCCACGGAGUCAUCUGGAGUGAGAAAUUGCAACUACAUAACCAGAACAGAGAGUGGACCUCUGCUGAAGACGUGCCCAGUCGUUUCCAUUGUUAAAAGAGAGUCUGGCUUGAAAUUGUUUUCAAUUUUUCAAAUAACAGGGAAAGAUUAACACUAAGGCAACUGCAUUUAAAAUGUAAAGUUGGGGAAUGGCUUAAAAUUUUAAAGCUACACUGUCAUUAAUUUUGCAAGAUGUCAGAGUUUAAAGGAAAAUACCAGUGAGAAGCCAUGGAACAGCCUCUGUAUAAUGAGGGAUGAAAGAAAAGGGGAAUGACAUUUAUUCCUCUCUGCCCUGUCACUUUGGCUUUACAUCAGUUGCUUAAGGGGUGGCACUGAAGCAUGUGACUGGUUUCAAAAGAGCCUUAAUAAUGAAAGAGAAAAGCGAUUCUUGCAUAUUAAAUGUACUGCAGAUUCAAUACACUGAAAAGGACAACAGGAAGAAGAAUAAUCAUAUUUUAUUGUGGGAAACAAACAAUUUUCACUUACUAUCCUAAAGUCAGCAUGGCAGAUGGCACGAGGCAGCAAGAUGGGCCUUGUGAACCCAGAGCUCUCUGAAUUCAGGGCAUAUUUCUACUGUGAAGGAAAGACAACAGCGGCGCUGACCAGCUGUGACUUCUCCAGACGGUCACGAAUGCCGCAGCCACAAGGAGGCUCAGGUAUUCCAAGUCCAGGCUCAGUGUUCUUUCCUUGUGCUGCAGUUGCUCAGUUUGGCCAAGUUUCUGUUUGUGAAGCUUUUUAGGAAAAGGAAAAAAAGUACUUCCAAAUGUGGUAAAUUACAUAUACUAAUUUAAGUAUAUAUAAAUAACUCAUUGCAUUUCAGAAGAAUGUUUUCCUUUUUUCAUUGUUGAAGUAAGGUAACUGUGAAGCUGAAACUCAGUGUAUUUCCAAACCCAAGUUAAUAAAUGUAAUAGUGAUUAGAGGUUCAUCUACUAGGUGUUCAAUAAACAGAGUUCACACUGUGUGACAACCUGGAAAAUGUAAUAUUUAUUUUUCACUUUUAAACAAAUUUAUUGAAGUUUAAUUUAUAUUCAAACAUCAUCCUAUUUUAAAGUGUAUAAUUCAUUGAGCAGAUAAAGAAUACUUCCUUUAUUUGGAGAGUUCCCUCAAGCCCUGUUACAGUUAAUUUUU
rnacentral:lncRNA from 1 species